rnacentral:rRNA from 1 species
UACGUAGGGUGCGAGCGUUAAUCGGAAUUACUGGGCGUAAAGCGUGCGCAGGCGGUUUUGUAAGCCAGAUGUGAAAUCCCCGGGCUCAACCUGGGAAUGGCAUUUGGGACUGCAAGGCUGGAGUACGGCAGAGGAGACUGGAAUUCCUGGUGUAGCAGUGAAAUGCGUAGAUAUCAGGAGGAAUACCGAUGGCGAAGGCAGGUCUCUGGGCUGAUGCUGAGACGCGAAAGCGUGGGGAGCGAACAGG